AAAUCUGAAGGACACUUCUUGAGAAUCUCUUUGUACCUCUCCCAAGCUUCAUAGAGGGACUCUCCUUCAUGUUGUCUGAAGGUCUAAAUGUCUGUUCUGAGUUU